UGAGUGGCGGACGGGUGAGUAACGCGUGGGCAACCUGCCCUGUACAGGGGGACAACACUUAGAAAUAGGUGCUAAUACCGCAUAACGGGGGGAGCCGCAUGGCACCCCCUGAAAACUCCGGUGGUACAGGAUGGGCCCGCGUCUGAUUAGCUGGUUGGCAGGGUAACGGCCUACCAAGGCGACGAUCAGUAGCCGGCCUGAGAGGGCGGACGGCCACCAUUGGGACUGAGACACGGCCCAGACUCCUACGGGAGGCAGCAG
rnacentral:rRNA from 1 species